UCAGAGCCUGGCCAAGGAAGAAUGGGCUCGCAUCAUGCCAGACAGCAGAGCAUGUUAUCUGGAAGCAGUGUUGUCCCUGCUUCACAGCUGGGAAGCAAGCAGAUACCCAGUACAUCUCCAGAGGCAGUAGCAUUUUGAAGACAGUAUGUCGGCAGGGUAGUGAAUGACCCAAAGACGACUUACGGGAGAAAGCCAAGCUACAAGGAGGAUUAGUACUGUUGAGGAGUGGUGGUGCACACCUUCAAUCCCAGCACUCGGCAAGCAGAGGCAGGUGGAUCACCAAAAAACUAAACCAACCCAAAAGAGGAUCUUCAUCCUGCAGCCUACGAAGAGAUGAGGGGCAUGCAAGCUGGCGAGCAGGAGGACUGGGAGUACCACAGCCUGGGGCACAUGGAUGACAGCCAGCUGGAAGGGCGUCACAUUCUUUAUCUGGAACAUUCUUCCUCUGGUGUCCACCUGGACACCUGUAUAGCAGUGACAACACUCCCUGCCUUCAACUGUCCCUAAGAUUUCUGAGCACAGCCCAGCAGUUCAGACUCUGUUCACAGGAUUUCUAAACAAGGAUGCCCCUGGCUGUGCCGUCCUGAGACUACGAAAUCUCUGUCCCAGAGAGCCUGUAU
rnacentral:lncRNA from 1 species